UCCCUGGUGGCUCAGACGGUAAAGCGUCUGCUUACAAUGUAGGAGAGCCGGGUUCGAUCCCGUGUCGGGAAG
rnacentral:tRNA from 1 species